GCCUCAAAGAGGGGACAAACAGUUGGAAACGACUGGUAAUACCGCAUAAGCCCACGGCUCGGCAUCGAGCAGAGGGAAAAGGAGCAAUCCGCUUUGAGAUGGCCUCGCGUCCGAUUAGCUAGUUGGUGAGGUAAUGGCCCACCAAGGCGACGAUCGGUAGCCGGACUGAGAGGUUGAACGGCCACAUUGGGACUGAGACACGGCCCAGACUCCUACGGGAGGCAGCAGUGGGGAAUAUUGCACAAUGGGGGAAACCCUGAUGCAGCGACGCCGCGUGGAGGAAGAAGGUCUUCGGAUUGUAAACUCCUGUUGUUGAGGAAGAUAAUGACGGUACUCAACAAGGAAGUGACGGCUAACUACGUGCCAGCAGCCGCGGUAAAACGUAGGUCACAAGCGUUGUCCGGAAUUACUGGGUGUAAAGGGAGCGCAGGCGGGAAGACAAGUUGGAAGUGAAAUCCGUGGGCUCAACCCAUGAACUGCUUUCAAAACUGUUUUUCUUGAGUAGUGCAGAGGUAGGCGGAAUUCCCGGUGUAGCGGUGGAAUGCGUAGAUAUCGGGAGGAACACCAGUGGCGAAGGCGGCCUACUGGGCACCAACUGACGCUGAGGCUCGAAAGUGUGGGUAGCAAACAGGAUUAGAUACCCUGGUAGUCCACACUGUAAACGAUGAUUACUAGGUGUUGGAGGAUUGACCCCUUCAGUGCCGCAGUUAACACAAUAAGUAAUCCACCUGGGGAGUA
rnacentral:rRNA from 1 species